AUUGAACGCUGGCGGCAUGCCUUACACAUGCAAGUCGAACGGCAGCACGGGAGCUUGCUCCUGGUGGCGAGUGGCGAACGGGUGAGUAAUGCAUCGGAACGUGCCCUGAAGUGGGGGGAUAACGUAGCGAAAGUUACGCUAAUACCGCAUAUUCUGUGAGCAGGAAAGCAGGGGAUCUUCGGACCUUGCGCUUUUGGAGCGGCCGAUGUCGGAUUAGCUAGUUGGUGGGGUAAAGGCCCACCAAGGCGACGAUCCGUAGCGGGUCUGAGAGGAUGAUCCGCCACACUGGAACUGAGACACGGUCCAGACUCCUACGGGAGGCAGCAGUGGGGAAUUUUGGGACAAUGGGCGCAAGCCUGAUCCAGCCAUGCCGCGUGAGUGAAGAAGGCCUCGGUUGGUU
rnacentral:rRNA from 1 species